CUCAAGUUUUAAAAGUUCUCUUCCACACGGCACUUUCUUAAUUAUCUGUAGUGUGGCUGAGACAAUUAUUUAAGUAUACAUAUAAUUCCAUCUUUUUUUUCUAAAACGAAAGAUUGUUUCGUGCUCAACUCACAAACGUCGUCUGGAUCGUGGAGAAACGUUAGUGUUAACGGUCUUCCUGUGGCGUGAAUUUCCAGUUCAUUAGGAAAACAAAUCCUGGUUGAUUUUGCAUCUCGCCUCAGCUCAAACAGGAUCUGGAAUAACAGCCCUUUCUUUUUUGUGUUUGAAACCGAAGCUACUGAAGCACAACAGAGUACACAGCUUAACACGGACGACAUCCAGCAACAAAGCAGCAGUCUGGUUAUAUGCUGGUCUACAAGCGGCAUCAGGUUAUCAGGACAGUGCAGAGCAGACAGCAAGCGAAGUGGGACCGGAUCAGGAAACGUUCUCGAGAUGGGAUUCGAACUUGGGACACCAGUAACGCAAUAGCGUAAUAUGUCGGCACACUUGCCCACAAGGCAGGGUUGCCAGGUAUGCAAAACAAAACUGGCCUAAGUGCUAAUCAAAACUAGCCCAUUCCUGUUUUUUAGUGGUUUCUGUCCAAAUUGUGUUCUGGGGAGAUCACUUUAAAAACUUUAAAAACAACCUGUGGCAAGAGUGUAAAAGUAGCCGAAUUCCGCAGUAAAGUGCAGACUUGACAACCUUGCCACAAGGCUAUUGGUGCUGAAUGUGAUGCUUUUUUAUAUUAGCAUAAAUAUGCAUUAUCAGUCUGGUUAUAACAUUUUACUUUUAUGCUAACAUGUCAAGCUGACUCUAAGCACAGUUGACCGUUUGCAAACAGCUUGAUUGACAGGCGAUCUGACCAAUCAUAACACCGAAUCCGCCGUUCUGUCCGACAAAUAAAUUUAGACAGGAGAGUAGAUUAACUUCAGUGGACCUAAACAUUGUGUGUAUUGAUGUCUUUCUGUGGUUGAAAUAAAAUGCGUUACGAUCAUGUUUUUUUUCAUGCUUUGAGUAAAUAAGAUGACGUGUCAUUGAUCUAAUAAAGGCAAUACAUCGAUCUGUCACAACACAUUAAUAAGCCACAAACGGAUAAAUGGUAUUUACUGUUUGAAUAUCUUUAAAAAAAUGACAAAAUUUUAAAGCUGACACUUUGUUUUAUACCAGAAGUAGCCUGCUCU